AUCGCUUCUCGGCCUUUUGGCUAAGAUCAAGGGUAGUAUCUGUUCACGUCAGCUUAAUAACAUUAUGCUGGAGAUUUUAGCCAGAGAAAUUAGUGAAGAAAAGGAAAUUAAAGGCAUUUAUAUUGGGGACUAAACAAAGUAAAAUGAUCUCUAUUUGUAGAUGGCAUGAUCUUAUACAUUUGGAAAACCUUA
ensembl:snRNA U2 U2 spliceosomal RNA